CCCCACCCUCAACCCAAUGACUGAGGGAUAACAGACCUCACCAUCAAGCUGCUCCUGCUUCACAGAAAGCACUCAGCACAUGACAUGGCUCUGGCUCCUGUUAUAAUGAAGCUGUUCACUUAACUUUGUUUUCUCCCUUGAGUGAUGCCUCUGCACACUGAGCCUCUUCACAUGUCCCUCUAGCAACAUUCACUGAUCCUUCAGGAAUGAGAACCAACCUGGAUCUCCUGAAAACAUUCUGAGAUGAAGAAUUGUGAGCAUAAUGUUGGGUGGGGAGCACUCUCAGAAGAUACACUGCAAAGAGGGACCUUCCACUCAGAAGAAAUGCUGUGGUGCUUCCUUUUACCCCAUACAAAAUGGAACGUAAGAAACUACAUAGCUCAACAAACUAGUCUUCUUAUAAAUGAGAGGCACUGAAGUCUGGGUAGCUUCCAGCUGAGGGAAAAUAACCAACAGCUUCUCCACAGUG
rnacentral:lncRNA from 1 species